CCUACGGGCGGCAGCAGUGAGGAAUAUUGGUCAAUGGACGAGAGUCUGAACCAGCCAAGUAGCGUGAAGGAUGACUGCCCUAUGGGUUGUAAACUUCUUUUGUAUGGGAAUAAACUCUUCCACGUGUGGGUUUUUGUAUGUACCAUAUGAAUAAGGAUCGGCUAACUCCGUGCCAGCAGCCGCGGUAAUACGGAGGAUCCGAGCGUUAUCCGGAUUUAUUGGGUUUAAAGGGAGCGUAGGUGGAUUGUUAAGUCAGUUGUGAAAGUUUGCGGCUCAACCGGAAAAUUGCAGUUGAAACUGGCAGUCUUGAGUACAGUAGAGGUGGGCGGAAUUCGUGGUGUAGCGGUGAAAUGCUUAGAUAUCACGAAGAACUCCGAUUGCGAAGGCAGCUCACUGGACUGCAACUGACACUGAGGCUCGAAAGUGUGGGUAUCAAACAGGAUUAGAUACCCCAGUAGUC
rnacentral:rRNA from 1 species